rnacentral:rRNA from 1 species
GAUGAACGCUGGCGGCGUGCCUAAUACAUGCAAGUCGAGCGAACAGACGAGGAGCUUGCUCCUUUGACGUUAGCGGCGGACGGGUGAGUAACACGUGGGUAACCUACCUAUAAGACUGGGAUAACUUCGGGAAACCGGAGCUAAUACCGGAUAAUAUUUCGAACCGCAUGGUUCGAUAGUGAAAGAUGGCUUUGCUAUCACUUAUAGAUGGACCUGCGCCGUAUUAGCUAGUUGGUAAGGUAACGGCUUACCAAGGCAACGAUACGUAGCCGACCUGAGAGGGUGAUCGGCCACACUGGAACUGAGACACGGUCCAGACUCCUACGGGAGGCAGCAGUAGGGAAUCUUCCGCAAUGGGCGAAAGCCUGACGGAGCAACGCCGCGUGAGUGAUGAAGGUCUUCAGAUCGUAAAACUCUGUUAUUAGGGAAGAACAAACGUGUAAGUAACUGUGCACGUCUUGACGGUACCUAAUCAGAAAGCCACGGCUAACUACGUG